ensembl:snoRNA SNORD26 Small nucleolar RNA SNORD26
UUGUGGGGAUGAUUUCCACAAUUGAACUCUCUCUUUCUCAUGGAGUAGUGAGAGAUUAUAAUACAUUCUGAGUAGA